rnacentral:lncRNA from 1 species
GCACAUGCGCAGAAUCAUCGUGGUGCACGGCUCUCCCUUUGCUUCUUCGGUUGCAGUCCUCUUGCUUCUUGCGCGUGCGUGUAGCGCUUUUGCAAAGCCGCGGAGGUGAAGUGAACUUAGAGGUUGUGGGGCCGAGGGGUCGUCUUAUAGCUACCAGCCCACAGGCAUUUAGUCUACGUUGGAGGUAAACAAAUACGGGUCCUGCUUAGGAGAAAAGAAAAACGUCUUACAGCCAGUGUCUAAACUCCAAACAACGGAAUGUAUCAAUGAGACCUUGUAUAUGGAUACACGUGCAUUUAAAACCGCCCUGCCGGCUUGUAGAGCUUUUGCCGUUCUCCAGCGCUUUACAGGGGUUAUCGCACUUAAGCCUCGGAACAACUUUACCAGUGAUUCUACCAGAAAGGAAUGAAGAACAGAACCUUCAGGAAUUGAGUCACAAUGCAGACAAAUAUCAAAUGGGAGAUUGUUGCAAGGAAGAGAUUGAUGAUAGUAUUUUCUACUAGCCAUUGGGAAGAUAAAAGGAGACAGAAGAUUGAAGCCUUUGCCAGCCAUUCUUUCCCUUUUUGCUUCCAAACUCCUCAACUGGGAACCUUCAUAUGUGCAGUAUUUAUAUUGGAUCAUACUGGUGAUUAUAAAAGUUCCUAGGAGGCUAGAAGAGCCAACCAACAGAGAAGGGAAAGCAGUCUGUUCUGAACAUAGGGACAUAAGUUCAUUCAUGCCAAGUAUCUUUCCAGCAUGUUUCUCCCAUUUAGAAUAUCUAGCAUGUAAGGCCUUUCAAUAUUAAUAUAAGCCCAAUAUCAGCUCUUUCUCUUUGUAUUUCAUCUCUUUCUACUCUCCUAUUUGUAUUUUGUGUUCCUAUCAAAGUGUCGUAUCUGGGAGAUGACCUGCCUUAUCCUGUUCUAUAACAGUUUUGUUUGCUGCUGUGUCUUUAGAACAGUGCCUGGCACACAGUAAGCACUCAAUAAAUCUUUGAUGAAUGAA